rnacentral:rRNA from 1 species
GAGGGAAACAGCCCAGACCAUCAGCUAAGGUCCCAAAGUGCAUGCUAAGUGGAAAAGGAAGUGGAGACGUGCAGACAACUAGGAGGUUGGCUCAGAAGCAGCCAUCCUUUAAAGAGUGCGUAACAGCUCACUAGUCGAGUGACCCUGCGCCGAAAAUGUACCGGGGCUAAGCCUGAUACCGAAACUGCGGAUUGUAGGAAACUAUAGUGGUAGGGGAGCGUUGUAUACGAGCAGAAGCCGUACCGUGAGGAGCGGUGGAUUGUAUAGAAGUGAGAAUGCCGGUGUGAGUAGCGAGAUGUAGGUGAGAAUCCUACACACCGAAAGCCCAAGGAUUCCAGGGGAAGGUUCGUCCGCCCUGGGUAAGUCGGGACCUAACGCGAGGCCGAAAGGCGUAGUGGAUGGAAAGCAGGCGAAAGAUUCCUGCACCCGUAUAUGGAGCGAAGGAGUGACGGAGACGGAUAGUGUGACCCUCUUAAUGGAUUGAGGGCGAAGCGAAGCGGCUGGUUACCAGGCAAAUCCGGUAACCAAAAGGCUAGAGCGUGACAGGUAAGCGAAAUCCAAGGAAAGUAGCGAAGCACAUGAUGACGGCUUCCAGGAAAAGCUUCUGGCAAUGCAUAUGCGGCCCGUACCAAAACCGACACAGGUGGGCAGGGAGAGAAUCCCGAGGUGAGCGAGAGAACUGUUGCCAAGGAACUCGGCAAAAUGACUCCGUAAGUUAGCGAGAAGGAGUGCUUAAGCAAUUAAGCCGCAGUGAAGAGGCCCAAGCGACUGUUUAACUAAAACACAGCUCUCUGCGAAGUCGCAAGACGAAGUAUAGGGGGUGACACCUGCCCGGUGCUGGAAGGUUAAGAGGAUCUGUUAAGAGCGAUCUGAAGCAGUGAUCCGAAGCCCCAGUGAACGGCGGCCGUAACUAUAACGGUCCUAAGGUAGCGAAAUUCCUUGUCAGGUAAGUUCUGACCCGCAUGAAAGGCGUAAUGAUUUGGGCACUGUCUCAACAGCCCGCCCGGCGAAAUUGUAGUACCGGUGAAGAUGCCGGUUACCCGCGACAAGACGGAAAGACCCCAUGGAGCUUUACUGUAGCCUAAUAUUGGGUUUCGAUGUUGCAUGCACAGGAUAGAUGGGACUCUGGGAAACCAAGGCUUUGGCCUUGGCGGAGAGGCCGUUGGGAUACCAUCCUUGCGAUAUUGGAAUUCUAACCUGCGGCUCUGAAUCGAGUCGGGGGACAUUGUUAGGUGGGCAGUUUGACUGGGGCGGUCGCCUCCUAAAGAGUAACGGAGGCGUUCAAAGGUUCGCUCAGCUUGAACGGAAAUCAAGCAAAAGAGUGCAAACGCAGAAGCGAGCCUAACUGCGAGACUGACGGGUCGAGCAGUAACGAAAGUUGGAGUUAGUGAUCCGGUGGUAUGUGAGUGGAAAUGCCAUCGCUCAACGGAUAAAAGUUACCCUGGGGAUAACAGGCUGAUCUCCCCCAAGAGUCCACAUCGACGGGGAGGUUUGGCACCUCGAUGUCGGCUCAUCGCAUCCUGGGGCUGUAUUCGGUCCCAAGGGUUUGGCUGUUCGCCAAUUAAAGCGGUACGCGAGCUGGGUUCAGAACGUCGUGAGACAGUUCGGUCCCUAU